rnacentral:rRNA from 1 species
UACGUAGGGUGCAAGCGUUGUCCGGAAUUAUUGGGCGUAAAGAGCUCGUAGGUGGCGGGUCACGUCGGGUGUGAAAGCCCGGGGCUUAACCCCGGGUCUGCAUUCGAUACGGGCUUGCUAGGGUCCGGCAGGGGAGACUGGAAUUCCUGGUGUAGCGGUGAAAUGCGCAGAUAUCAGGAGGAACACCGGUGGCGAAGGCGGGACUCUGGGCCGAUACUGACGCUGGAGGAGCGAAAGCGUGGGGAGCAAACAGG